AUCAUUAAGUUGGGAACUCUGUUAAGACUGCUGUUGAUAAAACGGAGGAAGGUGGGGAUGAUGUCAAGUCAUCAUGGCCUUUAUGUUCAGGGCUACACACGUGCUACAAUGGUUGGUACAAAAUGUCGCAAUCUCGUAAGAGUGAGCUAAUCAAUUAAAGCCAAUCUCAGUUCGGAUUGAAGUCUGCAACUCGACUUCAUGAAGUUGGAAUCGCUAGUAAUCGCAGAUCAGAACGCUGCGGUGAAUACGUUCCCGGGUCUUGUACACACCGCCCGUCACAUCACGAAAGUAGGUCGUACUAGAAGUAGCUGGGCUAACCCGCAAGGGAGGCAAGUUACCACGGUAUGAUUUAUAAUUGGGGUGAAGUCGUAACAAGGUAGCUGUAGGAGAACCUGUGGCUGGAACACCUCCUU
rnacentral:rRNA from 1 species